ACACAUGCAAGUCGAACGAGAAAGUUUCCUUCGGGAAAUGAGUAGAGUGGCGCACGGGUGAGUAACGCGUAGGUAAUCUACCCUUAUGAUCGGGAUAACAUUGGGAAACUGGUGCUAAUACCGGAUACCCUUCCUGGCUGUGGGGUCAGGGAGGAAAGGUGGCCUCUUCAUGAAAGCUACCGCAUAGGGAUGAGCCUGCGUACCAUUAGCUAGUAGGCGGGGUAACGGCCCACCUAGGCGACGAUGGUUAGCGGGUCUGAGAGGAUGAUCCGCCACACUGGAACUGGAACACGGACCAGACUCCUACGGGAGGCAGCAGUGAGGAAUAUUGCGCAAUGGGGGAAACCCUGACGCAGCGACGCCGCGUGAGUGAGGAAGGUUUUCGGAUCGUAAAGCUCUGUCAGAAGGGAAGAAAUGCUGCAUGGUUAAUACCCCUGCAGUUUGACGGUACCUUCAGAGGAAGCACUGGCUAACUCCGUGCCAGCAGCCGCGGUAAUACGGAGGGUGCAAGCGUUGUUCGGAAUUACUGGGCGUAAAGGGCGCGCAGGCGGCCUGAUAAGUCAGAUGUGAAAGUCCACGGCUCAACCGUGGAAGUGCAUUUGAAACUGUCUGGCUUGAGUAUCGGAGGGGAGUGUGGAAUUCCCGGUGUAGAGGUGAAAUUCGUAGAGAUCGGGAGGAACACCGGUGGCGAAGGCGACACUCUGGACGAAUACUGACGCUGAUGCGCGAAAGCGUGGGGAGCAAACAGGAUUAGAUACCCUGGUAGUCCACGCCGUAAACGAUGUGAACUAGGGAUAGGGGGUGUUGAUCCCUUCUGUCCCGCAGCUAACGCAUUAAGUUCACCGCCUGGGGGGUACGGGUCGUAGAAUAAAACUCAAAGGAAUUUGACGGGGGCCCGCAACAAGCCGU
rnacentral:rRNA from 1 species